rnacentral:rRNA from 1 species
GACGAACGCUGGCGGCGCGCCUAACACAUGCAAGUCGAACGAGCGAGAGAGAGCUUGCUUUCUCGAGCGAGUGGCGAACGGGUGAGUAACGCGUGAGGAACCUGCCUCAAAGAGGGGGACAACAGUUGGAAACGACUGCUAAUACCGCAUAAGCCCACGGCUCGGCAUCGAGCAGGGGGAAAAGGAGCAAUCCGCUUUGAGAUGGCCUCGCGUCCGAUUAGCUAGUUGGUGAGGUAACGGCCCACCAAGGCGACGAUCGGUAGCCGGACUGAGAGGUUGAACGGCCACAUUGGGACUGAGACACGGCCCAGACUCCUACGGGAAGCAGCAGUGGGGAAUAUUGCACAAUGGGGGAAACCCUGAUGCAGCGACGCCGCGUGGAGGAAGAAGGUCUUCGGAUUGUAAACUCCUGUUGUUGGGGAAGAUAAUGACGGUACCCAACAAGGAAGUGACGGCUAACUACGUG